GUGAACAUACCUCAUGUUGCCUCGGCAGGUCGCGCCUCCCUCGUAGGCCCUACCCCGUAGGCUCCUACGCGGAAGGCGCGGGUACCCCUGCCGGUGGCCCACGAAACUCUGUCUCAUCGUUGAAUUCUGAACCUAUAACUAAAUAAGUUAAAACUUUCAACAACGGAUCUCUUGGUUCUGGCAUCCGAUGAAGAACGCAGCGAAAUGCGAUAAGUAAUGUGAAUUGCAGAAUUCAGUGAAUCAUCGAAUCUUUGAACGCUGAUUGCGCCCAUUAGUAUUCUAGUGGGCAUGCCUGUUUCGAGCGUCAUUUCAACCCUUAAGCCCUUGUUGCUUAGCGUUGGGAGCCUACGGCACCGUAGCUCCCCAAAGUCAGUGGCGGAGCCGGCUCACACUCUAGACGUAGUAAUUACUCACCUCGCCUAUAGUUGGACCGGUCCCCUGCCGUAAAACG
rnacentral:rRNA from 1 species